rnacentral:rRNA from 1 species
CGCGGCCUAUCAGCUUGUUGGUGAGGUAAUGGCUCACCAAGGCGACGACGGGUAGCCGGCCUGAGAGGGUGACCGGCCACACUGGGACUGAGACACGGCCCAGACUCCUACGGGAGGCAGCAGUGGGGAAUAUUGCACAAUGGGCGCAAGCCUGAUGCAGCGACGCCGCGUGAGGGAUGACGGCCUUCGGGUUGUAAACCUCUUUCAGUAGGGAAGAAGCGAAAGUGACGGUACCUGCAGAAGAAGCACCGGCUAACUACGUGCCAGCAGCCGCGGUAAUACGUAGGGUGCGAGCGUUAUCCGGAAUUAUUGGGCGUAAAGAGCUCGUAGGCGGUUUGUCGCGUCUGUCGUGAAAGUCCGGGGCUUAACCCCGGAUCUGCGGUGGGUACGGGCAGACUAGAGUGCAGUAGGGGAGACUGGAAUUCCUGGUGUAGCGGUGGAAUGCGCAGAUAUCAGGAGGAACACCGAUGGCGAAGGCAGGUCUCUGGGCUGUAACUGACGCUGAGGAGCGAAAGCAUGGGGAGCGAACAGGAUUAGAUACCCUGGUAGUCCAUGCCGUAAACGUUGGGCACUAGGUGUGGGGACCAUUCCACGGUUUCCGCGCCGCAGCUAACGCAUUAAGUGCCCCGC